GAUCCUGGCUUAGGAUGAACGCUAGCGGCAGGCUAACACAUGCAAGUCGAGGGGCAACGCGAGUAGCAAUACUUGGCGGCGACCGGCGCAAGGGUGCGUAACGCGUGAGCAACAUGCCCGUAUCAGGGGGGAUAAUCCAAGGGAAACUUGGUCUAAUACCCCAUAGUAAUUUUGUAAGGCAUCUUAUAAGAUUUAAAGCUUUGGUGGAUACGGAUUGGCUCGCGUGACAUUAGCUGGAUGGUAAGGUAACGGCUUACCAUGGCUAUGAUGUCUAGGGGUUCUGAGAGGAAGGUCCCCCACACUGGAACUGAGACACGGUCCAGACUCCUACGGGAGGCAGCAGUGAGGAAUAUUGGACAAUGGAUGGAAAUCUGAUCCAGCCAUGCCGCGUGAAGGAAGAAGGUCCUAUGGAUUGUAAACUUCUUUUGUAUGGGAGCAAUAAGGCCUACGAGUAGGUUGAUGAGAGUACCAUACGAAUAAGCACCGGCUAACUCCGUGCCAGCCGCCGC
rnacentral:rRNA from 1 species